rnacentral:rRNA from 1 species
GACGAACGCUGGCGGCGUGCCUAACACAUGCAAGUCGAACGGAACUGCUUCGAAGGAUUUCUUCGGAAUGACAUUGAUUCCAGUUUAGUGGCGGACGGGUGAGUAACGCGUGAGUAACCUGCCUUCAAGAGGGGGGAUAACCAUUCUGAAAAGAAUGCUAAUACCGCAUGACAUAUGAUUGUCGCAUGGCAGAUAUAUCAAAGNUUUAUCGCUUUGAAGAUGGACUCGCGUCCGAUUAGUUAGUUGGUGAGGUAACGGCUCACCAAGACCGCGAUCGGUAGCCGGACUGAGAGGUUGAACGGCCACAUUGGGACUGAGACACGGCCCAGACUCCUACGGGAGGCAGCAGUGGGGGAUAUUGCGCAAUGGGGGCAACCCUGACGCAGCAACGCCGCGUGAAGGAUGAAGUUUUCGGAUUGUAAACUUCUUUUAUUAAGGACGAAUAAUGACGGUAC